rnacentral:rRNA from 1 species
AGUGAACGCUGGCGGUAGGCCUAACACAUGCAAGUCGAACGGCAGCACAGUAAGAGCUUGCUCUUACGGGUGGCGAGUGGCGGAUGGGUGAGGAAUACAUCGGAAUCUAUUUUUUCGUGGGGGAUAACGUCGGGAAACUUACGCUAAUAUCGCAUAUGACCUACGGGUGAAAGCAGGGGUUCUUCGGACCUUUCGCGAUCGAAUGAGCCGAUGUCGGAUUAGUUAGUUGGCGGGAUAAAGGCCCACCAAGGCGACGAUCCGUAGCUGGUCUGUCUGGAUGAUCAGCCACACUGGAACUGGGACACGGUCCAGACUCCUACAGGAGGCAGCAGUGGGGAAUAUUGGAGAAUGGGCGCGAGCCUGAUCCAGCCAUACCGCGUGGGUGAAGAAGGCCUUCGGGUUGUAAAGCCCUUUUGUUGGGGAAGAAAAGCAGCAGGUUAAUACCCCGCUGUUCUGACGGUACCCAAAGAAUGAGCACCGGCUAACUUCGUG